rnacentral:rRNA from 1 species
GGGCGUAAAGCGUGCGCAGGCGGUUUUGUAAGACAGGCGUGAAAUCCCCGGGCUCAACCUGGGAACUGCGCUUGUGACUGCAUCACUUGAGUACGGCAGAGGGGGGUGGAAUUCCACGUGUAGCAGUGAAAUGCGUAGAGAUGUGGAGGAACACCGAUGGCGAAGGCAGCCCCCUGGGUCGAUACUGACGCUCAUGCACGAAAGCGUGGGUAGCAAACAGGAUUAGAUACCCUGGUAGUCCACGCCCUAAACGAUGUCAACUAGGUGUUGGGUGGGUAAAACCAUUUAGUACCGUAGCUAACGCGUGAAGUUGACCGCCUGGGGAGUACGGCCGCAAGGUUAAAACUCAAAGGAAUUGACGGGGACCCGCACAAGCGGUGGAUGAUGUGGAUUAAUUCGAUGCAACGCGAAAAACCUUACCUACCCUUGACAUGUCCAGAAGCCUGAAGAGAUUUUGGUGUGCCCGAAAGGGAACUGGAACACAGGUGCUGCAUGGCUGUCGUCAGCUCGUGUCGUGAGAUGUUGGGUUAAGUCCCGCAACGAGCGCAACCCUUGUCGUUAAUUGCCAUCAUUUAGUUGGGCACUUUAACGAGACUGCCGGUGACAAACCGGAGGAAGGUGGGGAUGACGUCAAGUCCUCGUGGCCCUUAUGGGUAGGGCUUCACACGUCAUACAAUGGUCGGUACAGAGGGUUGCCAAGCCGCGAGGUGGAGCCAAUCCCAGAAAGCCGAUCGUAGUCCGGAUUGGAGGCUGCAACUCGCCUCCAUGAAGUCGGAAUCGCUAGUA